AUUUUUUAAAAUAUUAUGUAAUAAGUUAGACUCUGGAAAACCCCAUACUCAUCCGAGCAGCUCGGACAACCGGAAAGCAAAAUUCGAUUAGCUCCAUUGUAGCCAUCAGAGUGUCUGCCAAUACCAAAGAACAACAAAGGCAAGUUGAGGAGGCUGCACAGGCUUAACUCAGCACUUGUCCGCUUUCCCAGCUUUGGUACCCGCUCUCUACUGGACGACUUCGAUGAAAGAAAUUGUGCUCUUCGACUUCCCGUAGAAAGCAGUGACUAUUUUUCCUUUUGCUUCGGGGGCCGGCGCAGAAUUUUUUGCCAGAAACAUAACUUUUUGUCAAUCAUUCCCUUUUGAGGGUGGAGCCCGCCCCAAUGGGGAUUUCUACAAUCCUUGAGUCCGCCAGACUUUUUGAGCACGUCCGUAAAUUAUGCCGCUCUGUGCUCCCUCACGCGUUGUCUUCGGUUGAUUUGUGAAACUGUUGAAGGGUAGAAAACUGAGAAUUGUAUAGCUACCUUCAAGAAUCCUGAAGUUACCACAGUUUUGUCGCAUCAAACCCCUGUGCUCGCCGGUAAUUCGGCUUUGAAAGAACUUUUGUUACGAUUAUAAACUACUUCGAGACACUCUUUAAAAGGAGGGUGGGCUGGCUAAUGUUAUAAAUGAAACAUGCCAGACACAAGCUUAAAUAUCGCACAGUCGCUUAAAUGAAAAAGCCCAAACUAUAACGAACAAAGAAAAGAUAGAUAAUGGAAAAUGAAAAUUGAUCUUUUUCAAAAGUAAGGGGAGCCAAAAGAGGGA
rnacentral:lncRNA from 1 species